rnacentral:lncRNA from 1 species
UUGGGGACCUUCAAAACAAACAGUGGAAGUUUUACGUGCAAAAUGGGAAGAUCAAAGUGGGCUGUCAUACCUUUUACCCGCUUAAAGGACUCUAGCUCUUGCAAAUUCUAGUCAGCCACAUGGUCUUUUUCAAGAUCCUGAAGCUAUCAUGCAUUUAAAUCAUUACAAAGUGCAAUGUUUACCUCAUCCCUAUGGUUUAGAUCAAAGUAUUUUUGGUCCAAGACAUUUAUGACAUCGAUGCUGCACACACAAGAUAAACCAGAAGGAUAUUUCAUUGCAUCAUACAUAUUAAAUUUUACCAUUUUGCAUCAAAUUCUAUAGUGAAGGUGCCAUCUUAUACAUCUAUUUUUGUUUUGGCGGUGCUGAGAAAGGGUCUGCCUAACAAGAGAUCAUAAGAGUUUGAGAUUUAUCAUCUUCCAUAUCUAGUAAGUAGAAGUCAGCGGGGAAAAUGAGGUUGUCCACUUGAACUAACACAUCUUCCAAGACUCCUUCGGUUGAAUGAUGACUCCAAUUUCCUUCAGUUGUCUGACACUCAACUUGGAGUAAAUAGACAUGAGCAUCACAUUUAUAGAAGCCUCGAGAUCGAACAUGGCCUUCUUUAUGCCCAAUGUACCUAUUUUAUGUGAAAUGGCGAACGUACCUUGGUCCUUGCAUUUGGGAGGUAACUUCCUCUGUAUGAUGGCCGAAACAUUCUCUCCCACACUUACUCUUUCGUUGUUGCUCAAUUUCCUCUUGUUGGUGC